GAUGAACGCUGGCGGCGUGCCUAAUACAUGCAAGUCGAGCGAAUGGAUUAAGAGCUUGCUCUUAUGAAGUUAGCGGCGGACGGGUGAGUAACACGUGGGUAACCUGCCCAUAAGACUGGGAUAACUCCGGGAAACCGGGGCUAAUACCGGAUAACAUUUUGAACCGCAUGGUUCGAAAUUGAAAGGCGGCUUCGGCUGUCACUCAUGGAUGGACCCGCGUCGCAUUAGCUAGUUGGUGAGGUAACGGCUCACAAAGGCAACGAUGCGUAGCCGACCUGAGAGGGUGAUCGGCCACACUGGGACUGAGACACGGCCCAGACUCCUACGGGAGGCAGCAGUAGGGAAUCUUCCGCAAUGGACGAAAGUCUGACGGAGCAACGCCGCGUGAGUGAUGAAGGCUUUCGGGUCGUAAAACUCUGUUGUUAGGGAAGAACAAGUGCUAGUUGAAUAAGCUGACACCUUGACGGUACCUAACCAGAAUGCCACGGCUAACUACGUGCCAGCCGCCGCCGUAA
rnacentral:rRNA from 1 species